UAGAAAGGUCUCUCUGGCUGCCAUGUGGAAAACGGAUGGUGGAGACAGGACAGAGUGCAGCCAGCCAGGCCAGAGGGGGCGGUGGCCCGGGAGGGGCAGGGGGCAGGCAGAGGAGCUGCUGGGCGAGCCUUAAGAAGCAGAGUCAGAGUGCCAGGGAGCGACAGACCCUACAGGCUGGCCACACCGAUGCCCUGGCCAGCUCCUUUCUCCUGGGCCCCCCAACCCUAGAGCCUGGAAAAGCCAGGUUCCCAAUCUCCCCUACAGAGGUGACCACGGGACACAGAUCUAGCCAGAGACUUAAGAAGCCUGCUUUUGCUUUCUCGACAAAAGGGCCCACGGGAGCUACAGCCAGGCCUUCUUCCCGCCCUGCACACGGCCAUGAGGCCAGACCUGUGGCAGCCGUCUUGCGAAAAUGAGGCAAUAAGUGCAGAAUGAAAGCCAACUCGCCCACGAUGGGGGAGCAGAAAGGCAGCAACUGCCCAGAUGAAGAGACCACAGUGCGGCCUCCUUGCAGCUGAGAGCAACCUAUGCAGUGUCAGAUGCUACUGGGUGGGGCUGCCUGCAAAGUUCUAGAAUGGAACCCCAGAGCCCUGGGAAGGACGGAUUCCACUGCUCUCUUCACUUGGUUCCUGGGGAUGAGAGCAUGGUCCUCCUGGCUGGGGACUGGUUGAAGGCAGGGUCUGUGACCAAAGCCCGGACAGUGAGCAUUGGCCCUGGACUUUUGCUGGAACAUUAGGGAGCAGACACUCUCUUUCCACUGCUCAGCAGAGAGGAUAAUCAUUGUGAGGCUGACAGGGUUAUGAUAAGCAGGGUUAUGAUAUACGAUAAAGCUAAUAUUUACUGAGUGCUGGCUGAACGUCAGUUUCACUCUUUUUAAGGCCAUCACAUGUGCCACUGUCAAUCCUUAAGCCAAUGGCAUGAAGUAAGUACAGACGACAAAACUGAAGACCUGACAGAUUAAGCAACUUUCCCAGGGCCGCAGAGCCACAGAGUGACAGAUGAAGACGUUGGUUGCACAGUCCUGCUCCAGAGCCCACCCCCUGAUCCCUUCUCUGCCACUUCUCCUCAAGCCUAAACCUUCAGAAACGACUGCUGCCUAAUAAUGAAGGAAGCCAGGGUGAAAGAGAGUAGAAAAGACACUGGGAGAAAAGAAAUGGGUCUGAGAACAUCGAGGCCCCUGGAUCCAGCUGUGCCUGAAACCAGACCUUCUGAACUUGGAAAUUAUUUGAGUCAAUAAAUUGCCUCUUUGUUAACACUGCUUUGAUUGGGUCUCUGCCCACUGACACAAACACUGCUGAGGCUCACGGCACAUCUGACACAGGCAAACCAGGAAGCACAG